UACGGAGGGGGCUAGCGUUGUUCGGAAUCACUGGGCUUAAAGGGCGCGUAGGCGGUCCGACAAGUCAGGGGUGAAAUCCUGCAGCUUAACUGUAGAAGUGCCUCUGAUACUGUCGGUCUUGAGGGAGAUAGGGGUGUGCGGAACUUCCAGUGGAGCGGUGAAAUGCGUUGAUAUUGGAAGGAACGCCGGAGGCGAAAGCGGCGCACUGGAUCUCUACUGACGCUGAGGUGCGAAAGCGUGGGGAGCAAACAGG
rnacentral:rRNA from 1 species